rnacentral:rRNA from 1 species
CGACAGCAAUAUGAAGGUCAGGCUGAAGACCUUACCCGAUUAGCUGAGAGGUGGUGCAUGGCCGUCGUCAGUUCGUACUGUGAAGCAUCCUGUUAAGUCAGGCAACGAGCGAGACCCACGUCCACAGUUGCCAGCAUACCCUCCGGGGUGAUGGGUACACUGUGGAGACCGCCGCUGCUAAAGCGGAGGAAGGAGUGGGCAACGGUAGGUCAGUAUGCCCCGAAUCUCCCGGGCUACACGCGGGCUACAAUGGUUGGUACAAUGGGCAUCUACCCCGAAAGGGGAAGGAAAUCUCUUAAAGCCAAUCGUAGUUCGGAUUGAGGGCUGCAACUCGCCCUCAUGAAGCUGGAAUCCGUAGUAAUCGCGUUUCAACAGAACGUGGUGAACACGUCCCUGCUCCUU